AACAUCGCGCACCUGCGGGAACCUGCGGAGGGAUCAUUACCGUGCCUGUAGUUGUUGGCGGCCCCUCUGGGGGUUCGUUCAGCGCUACGUUCGGCCCAACCGUGUCUAUCUAUACCUGUUGCUUCGGCGGGCCUGCGGGCUUGCUCGCUGCCGGGAGCCCCUAAAGCUCCGGGCGCGUGCCCGCCGAAGAUGCCUAGAACUACUGUUGAACUUAGCGGUCUGAGUGGGCUUUAUAAUCGU
rnacentral:misc_RNA from 1 species